GAGUCUGGACAGAAAAAGGAGUUCCUCCAAGGAGAGAACUGAGAUGCUUCUCCAUGGUCUUCAUUAUGAGAGCCAGUCUUGCCAUGCCACCUACUGUCCAAGUUCCAGUAUCCUCCUUUGGUCAGCAAUCUGGAAUACCAGUGCUCAUCACAUGUGUGGUCUUUGUGUUUACUAGCUUAAAGCCAAGCAGAAAUAAGUAAUACUUAUAUUUUUAGGACAAGAAGAAUUCAACAAAUGUUAACAGUGUACAAUGUGGCUUUCUUGUCUCCAUGCCCAAUGACCACCUUGUCUUUCUAUCUUAAAAUAAUGCUCAUAACAGUUUUGAUCCACACCAUCUGGAUCCCUUGUGCAAUCCUGUGGUUUUCCCUUCCUCGUCUCUAGCCUCCUGUCCCAACACCACACGUGCUGCAGUGGCCCUCAGCCUCGCCACCCACUCCUUCCUAGUUACAGAUUAAACCCCUGUGGUAGUAAAGUGAGGAGUCGGGUGAGAUGAAGGUUUGCUGGCCUCAUUUCAGAGUGGAAAGCACAUCAUCAAAGGAGAGGGCCACAGAGAUGUUUAAAAACCAUCAGACCCCACACUUGUGCCCAUGUUCUCUUAAAAGAUACCUCCCCAGGAGCCACACUUUGCUAAGCCAGAAAGGCUGGAUUAUACUAUGUUAGUUUCGCAUGUAUUGCCCAGACAAGUCUUUCUUUCAGUGUUGAUGCUGUGAGGCUGUAAAUGCAGUGGGAUUUCCUCAUGAGCUGGCCCUUGUCCCUCCCACUGAAAAACUACUUAUUCUUCAAAGUCAGCUCCUCCAGCGCAAGUCCAUUCCCUCUUCCGAACCCUUUGCUUCUUGUCUGUUCAAUUUAUUGCCCGCAUACAGUAUGUUAUGGGCUGAACUGUGACCUCUCAGAUACUUACAUGUUGAAAUCCUAAGCCCCGGUACUUUACAAUGUGGCUGCAUUUGGAGAUAGGGUGUUUGCAAAAUUGAUGAAGGUGAAAUGAGGUCAUUCGGGUGGGUCCUAAUCUCAAAUGACUGGUCUCCUUAUAAGAAGAGGAGAUUAGGAUAUGGGUACAGAGGGAAGACCUCGUGAAAACCCAGGAGGACAGCCAUCUGCAAGCCAAGCAGAGAUGCCCUGAACAGACCUUCAUAGCCCUCAGAAGGAAACAAUUUUGCUGACACCUUGACCUCUGAUUUCUAGCCUCUACAAGUGUGAAACAAUAAAUUUCUGUUGUCUAAGCUGCUCAGUUUACUUUGUUACAGUAGCCCACACAAACUAAUACACCAUACAUGGUUUUGAGAUAGUCCUGUGUGGCCUUGUCACUGAACUCUUAAGAGUUUUAUUUUAUAGCUUGAUUUGGUUGCAUGGUGAUGUUGCAGUGAUUGUAUUAUUAUUUAAACUGUGUGGGCUCAUUUCUAUGACAAGCUAUAAGGCCAGAAGCCACGUAUUCAUAUACUGCCUCAUAGAUACCUGCUGCAGCAUCUCCGAUCAUCAUAAUGUCAGUGUUCAGCAGAAUUUGCAGAAUGAAAGAUGGAUUUGCAAGAGACUAUUUUUAACAUGUGCUCCCUUGCUAUAUUAAAUAUAAGUCACAGCCUUCUUUAAUUAAUAGGUAUAGAGACCCACCUUUUACAAUUCAAUAUGUGGCAUGAAAAAUACACAGAUACAUAUGGAUCAAUGGGAUAGAACAUUUAAAUCAGGACUGUGUGGGGGAAGUCCAGCACACUACCUUCCUCCAAAAAAAAACAAGAAUUGCAACAUAUCAGGUUUUGUAUGUUUACAAAGUUAUCAAGCCGAAAUCUUUAAAACAGGCUAAUGUUUGAACUCAGGAGACAACGAGAGUGACGUUGCAGGCCUGGGAAGUUCAUUUUAAGAGCUUCUGAGCAUGGAAUGACCAGGAUGGGAAGCAGCAUGGCCUGGGAACAAUGGAGUGAAUUUACGAGAAGUUGUAAGGAAAAAAAGAUGGAAGAAGAAAAUGAGGAACUGCUACCUAGAACCUAAGGGUUCUGAACACCAAGAAUUAUCUAUGUAAAGUGACUCACAGGAGGGACUAUUAGCAAGAAGGACGAGGCAGGACUGGAUGACCGGGAUUGUUGGAUAAACUUUUGAAAUUGAUUUCUGUUAUGGAAAAGGAAGAAAAGUUCACACACAGCUCCAGACAACGGUUCAAGGGUAUCACUUGUUAGAAUGUAGUGGGGACAGGAUUUCAGGGAGUUUAGUUCAUCCUGAACUCAAAAGUAAGACACGGGAAUCCAGGCAAAAUUGGCCUUUCUUCAUUACCCCAGGAGAAGACAGAACCAUCAGUCAGGAUGCAGACAGCCACCAAUGAAGUUUCUACAUGGGUCUGGGAAAGGGAUUGCUUAAUAGACUUGCAGAGAAUACAACAGUAUGUUUUCUAGAAAUGGAGUCAAAACUGGAGGCAUGUUCUAUUUCCCACAGAGAAGGGUAAAAGAUGCUAUCUCAAGGAACUUUACUUCCAUUCAUGUCAGUGAUACCUACAGAGAGAAUUCUUAGACAUUCAGUCACCAAUUCAGGACAAUUAAAACCUCAAGAUAAAAUCUGAAUUUGUAUCAUUAGUUUAUAUCUUGAACACAACACACUUAGGGGCAAGAUUCAUAAUUAACAAUAGAAUAUGUAAAUCCAUACUUCUAAUAACCUCUUAGUCGUUUCUAAGUUUUUGGCUGGCAUUCUGUCGAUCUGAUUAGAUUGUCAUUAUUUUCUCUAGAAACAUGGCUGCACUAGUGUCAGGAAUGUUGGCUUGGCCACAUUCUUAUUGUUUGAUUAGGUUUGCAUUAUUAUAAUUGCCUUCAAUCUGAGGUUUCUUCGCAAGAAUAUUUUUCAGACUCUUGGCAGUUGUGUGACAGCAAAGUGGUGUUUAAGCCAUACAUCGUAAUUUGCAAUUCCAACUCAAUAGCCCCCCGAUAACUGUGAUAUGUCACUCUAGGCUGAAAUGUAACACAUGAGGGUGACACUGCUGAUAGCUUAUUGAUGGCCAUCUGAUGUUUGAACUGAAUACUGGGCCCAAAGCCAAUCUGUAUAUUAAACAUUGGGAAAGCUGCUGUGGUAUGAAUUGAGGAUAAUACAUGUCACUAUCCAGAACCGAGAUAUCUCACAGUUCAUGUUCAACACAUCCUAUUAUCAUCAUUAUCCUGGAACUCUCUAUGCGAUAAAGAGUCCCCAAAAUGGCCCCCUGCAAUGUGGGUUUUAAAGCAUAGAAUUAACUUCCCAGUAAUGUUUGGGGCUGCCAUGAGGAAUCCAGUCUCAAGCCUAGUCCCCAGGAAUGGACUUGGAGCUUUUAAAGGCAGCCAAGACCUUAGGACUAGGUCCUUCAUGGUCACCUCUCAGCUGGUGCACCCUGGCACACUCUCUGUGUGUGUGUGUGUGUGUGUGUGUGUGUGUGUGUGUGUGUGUGUGUGUGUUCAUAUUGACCACUGCUUUAUUACAAUAUCAAAGGGGCCCAUGUCAAGAAGCCAAGAAUAAGUGGCCCAAUUGUGAGGAAAUCCAACUACAUUUGUUCUAUGAAGGAAAGAAAAGCUACAUAAGAAAGGCAGAGGAAAUGUAGUACAAAUCCCUUAUGGGUUAACUUGACACACACCAGUAGGUGUGCAAAGUAAGCUGCACUUGUACUUUUAUCCAUAAGAAAGGCACAGCAAAGAAGUGUUUUGCCUGAAAUCUGUAGAUACUACGUCAAUGUAAUGAGAAUUUCCUCAUUUCGAUUUGUGAACAUAACUUCUUGCUUGCCAGCUUUAAGAGACUAAUUCGAAUAAGUGUUCACUGUAAGGGAUUCAGAUGAAUCCCUUAACUGUUAGAGUUGUUAGUGUUGGUUUCUUAAAUAACAUCACUCUGGCCAACAGUUACUGCUCACAAUUAAGUACUGUAACCUAGUACAGUCAAGCAGUCAUUGUUAAUGAAGGGAUAAAGAAUCCAUCACUGCAACAUAAACUACAAAUGGUUUUAAGCUGGGGUAGUGAGUGAAAGAGGCAGAGAUCAUCUGACAUAGAAAGAAAGGAAAGAGAAUUGAGAAUUAAGAUAAAUCAUUUUCUGAUUAGCAUGGUGCUCCCCAAUUCCAUGAGGCAACAUGCCAAGAAUGUAUCAUAUAAAUGCCACUAAUUAAAAACAAAAUAAUUUACUAGAAAAUGUUGGCAGAUAAACUAAUUUUUAAUUUUUAACACAUGAAUUAUUUUGUACUUUAUUCCAAGUUAUAAUACUUUGCAUCUGGAAUUAAGCUUAAGUUCUUAACUGCAAAGCCCCGAUUUAAUACUUCUCAUUGUUAUAACAGCUACUUCUUUAUGCCCUGCAUAGACAUUUUAUAAAGAAGAACUGACUGCUUAUAAUGAUAGGGAAAAACUAUGAGUAUAUGGUGGUUCUAAAUUCGCUAGGGCAAAAAAGCUAAAAGAUACUAUAUUCUUUCUCCAGUCUUUGGUCCUGUGUACAGCAUUUCAAAUAUUUCAAAGUUUCUCAUGCAAUGGGACACACAGGGUUAAGAUUCUAAUGAGUGCUGACAUGAAAUCAGUUCACCCUAUGAACUACUCACCAUAAUAAAAUUCAUUGUGUGUUCCAACCUUAAGGAACGGUAUUUUCAAAAGCUCUGCUUUUGUUAGCAUCUACCAUUACUAGGUGUUAACAUUUUAGAAGAAGUCAAAUUAACAACUUGAUUCAGGCAUUAAAAAUUGGGGGAAUAUUUUUAAGGGGUCAUAAAUUUUUAAUAACAACAUAAAUCUACCUGCUUACAUCACCUUAGCUCAGUCAGAAAAAAGGCAUCUCCCCAGUGGCUCGUCCAAAUAAUGAGUUAUGGUGAUAAAGUAGCAUAUCUAGAGUAAUAUAAACUAUUCAAGUUUCACAGGGUUAGGUGGACAACAGGACUUAAUGGAUAUGUGCAGUCACAGAGGUUGAAUACUCAACUAGCAUGUGUUAAGGAGGCCAGGCUUACUAGACGUUAUAGUCAUUGCUGAGUUUCAGGCACAGAACAGGGACUGCCAAUGCUCAUCAAACAUCCUGCCUUUUCCUGCAGUCAGGUUGGUGCAACGUGACUAAGUGGUCAGUCAGAUGUAAGUGACCAGAUGUCGGUCACACAAGGGCAGGCCAUAAAAAACAUCUUAUGUGAUCCUCUCCCUCGUGGUGACCUUGGAGGCCCCAAGUUCCAGGGGGGAUAUCUACAAGAGGGAGGAAGACCUUGACUCAUACGGAGCUUGAAUGUGAGCAAACGGAACUUUUUACUGGAUUAAGCCAGUGAGACUUUGAGAUUUGCCCCCAAAUCAACACCUAACAAGGCAUAUCUGAAGAGAUCUGGUGAACCGCCUGGGUCAACACAGUAGAAGUUUAUUUGUAGCUUCAAAUAACUUCUGGAUAAGGAAUCAAGGACCACAAUUACAAUCUGCCAUUGUUCCCCAGCAGGGAGGGACCGUCCUAACUGUAGUGAGGCAUCUGCUUUGAAGAUUUCUACUCCAACCCAGCUCCUAAGGCACAUGCCUAGUAUGUUGUAGGAGAGAAGAGGGGAGAAGAGAUGUGCCAAAUACUCUUGAUUAGGCCUCCAGACCUCGUCUGUCUUUCUCUGCUUUGUUCUCAAUCACAGGAUCUGCCCGCCCCUCUGGCUUCUGGUUGAACGGGGUCAAUGGAGAAGAUUUUAGACUAUCACACGGAGGAAGUGGAGUGAAGUCAGGGUAGCUGCUCCACUUGCUUUUUCCCUUUCUGGCCAUGAACUUGGCAAUGGCUACAUUCUCCUACAUGCUGCUCAUCCCCUCUUUCACAGCUACAGCCUCCAGGAACUCUGUGCCUGCCCCUCCCAGGUGCUAGUGCAGUCCCUGAGUGCCUGCCAUCUCUUGCUGCUGCUUCUAACCCUACUCAUACCACCCACGAAACCUGCUGAGGGUUCCAUCUGCUUCCUAUCAGGGCUGAUGCAGGCUACCUGUAUUUUUAUUGAAAUUUCACAACACAAGGUAGCACUAUUUAUCUGGUGAAGCACCACCAAACAAGAAAAGGCAGAUAUCCUCCCUACUCUGACUCAAGGCUCAGUGCAGCUUGGCUAUUUGAAGGCUCCCAGACACACACUGGCACCUGUGAGUGACGGAAUAACACUCAUAUCUCUGGAGGUAAAAGGACCCAGCAGGGAUCACGUUUGUCUGCAAGCAGUUCAAAUGCAGGCACAAAAAUGUGGCUGGGUACUUGUGCACAGCUUUGCAAGUUGCUGAGGAGCUAUCAACUGCCAAGGUAUGCCCAAAGCCACUGAGAUAACCCCUAGGGAUACCCAGAAAUAGAUGGGGAAGGGUUUAAAGUUGAUCAGGGUCCCACUAAAAGAAGGACGGGCAAGAACCAGGGAAAUAGAAUUUAACGUUCUUCAUUACCACUUACGUGAUUCUAAGCUGGUGUGACCUGAGAAAUAAUCCUUUUUAGAAGAAGCUGCUAUGGGAAAAAUCAUUGAACAUAGAAAGUGUCUUAACAAAAGAAAUAACCUCUUUGGAGUGGAUUUUAGUUCACUGUUUAUAUGCCAAACUUGACUGUUUGUGUGUGUGUAUGCAUGUGUGUGUGACAACACCAUUUCAAAUGUGUCAUUCAAAGUCCAUAAUAAAAUGUAUUCAAUAUUCAAAAAUUUAGAAGAAAAAUGUGAGCAAGCUUGGCCAUCUGUUCAUGCCAGUAAUUCAUAAACCAUCAAUUGUAGACGAAUAUUUAAGCCUUAGACAUUUACUUAUUCUGCCCUGUUGUACUUAUUUCCAUGUUCAAAACUGUCUUUUAUUUUGCACAUAUGGCCACAUCCUUUUCAACAUUUAUAUUUUUAUGCAAAGAAGUCCCACUAACCCUUGAUUAGUGAGGGUUGGUCAGAAGACAAGCUUACUGCUUGAGUGGCUCUAAUUUUAACAGCAUCGUUCAGUCCUUCUACGUGGCAAUCAGAACUUACACAUCGUUCACUGUAGUUCAUGCCAUUUGCAUGAAACUGACAUAAGCUGACACUCUGCUGUAUAUCUUGGCACAAUAUUGCUUUCAUCUCUGGAGUCGGGUGUCUUACAAAUUUAACAUUGUCAGUUGGGACCGUCCAAAGAUAUUUACAGUAAUGCUGAGGUCAAGCAAUGGCAGUGGAACUGUACAGGAUGUGGGGGCUGGGCCAAAGCCGUGGGACUCCGGAUUUAUUUUGUGAGUUGGAGAAUUGUCUAGUCAUCAGACCAACAGAGGAGCAAACCUCUAACAGCAUCUCCCUGCUUCUUCCCACCCUCUCAACAGGAGGCAUUGGAGAAGGUUUAUCUAAUGACUGACAUCUGACGCAUAAGGUGCAGGCACACUUACUCAGGGUGCGAAUAUUUACUGAGUGUCUCUGUGGGGCCAUACACUACUCUAGGCACUGGACAUACACCAGUAAAGAGAAGCUGUCCUCAUCUGUCUUAUUUUCUGGUCUUAAAUCUAAAGCCAAGAGGCAUUUAGCAGCACAAAUCCUCUUCAGCAGUCAACACUCCCAAAGUUUCAGGCACUGAGGAAAAUAAAAACAAAACUGUGGCCCUUUCCCAAGAAGCGCACAGUGUCCACAAGAAUGUGAAAGCCAUCUGGAAACUGAUAAACUGCAAAAAGCUCAGCCAUCUUCUGUUGGCAAAAUAAAAGAAUGGAUGUCCUUGGAAGAACGAUGUCCUUGGAAAGUCAUCAAAUAAAAAUGUGAGAGAAACACAGCCAUUAGAAGCUAAACAGCUUGGGACACCCUUGUUUACACAGCACGAUCACUGUAAUAUUUUGAAGUAAAUUGUUGUUUUUAAAAUCCAAUAAAAUCUACUUUCCAUUCA
rnacentral:lncRNA from 1 species